ensembl:lncRNA
GUUCACAUACUGCUGAAGCCCAGCUUGAAGGAUUUUGAGCAUAACCUUGCUAGCGUGUGAAUGGCUUGCCUGGAGGACCCUGCCCUUCUGCCUGACUGUAAAGCACCUUUGUUCAGCUCAGGGAGAUACUUUGGCCCUGCCCACCUGUGAAUAGAAGAGAUUAACACGCCCCUUGCAAAGGCUGGCCAUUCGCUUGGAGAUGUUCUGCAAGACUGAAGGCGCUUUCACUUUACUUCCCGACUGCCUCGCCCUCUCUAUUCUUCCUUUUGACUUUAGUUCCUCAUUGCUUCUUUCUCUCUGAUCUAUAAAAGAACCUGGCAUCCACAUCCUGACAAAAGGGUUAUUUUGAGGCACUAGCCUGCCAUCUUCUCAGUCAGCUGCUUCCCGAAUAAAGUCUCCUGUCUCAACACCUUGUCUCUCGGAUUCAUUGGCCUGUCGUGCUGCAAGCAGAGUGAGCCUGGACUCAGUAACACUGACAUUGUCAAAUGUCCCCUAAUGACUAAAAAACCACUGGUAUAGAGUCUACCCUAGAAACAGUGUGGUCUGCAGACCAGCAGCAUAAGCCUCACCGGGGAGUUUCUUCAAGAUGCCAAAUCCCAGGCCCCUUAUCAGAACUGCUGAGCCAGGAUCUGCAGUUUAUCAAGAUCCCCCAGGUGGUCCGUCUCCUAACCUUGAUGAGUCUCUCUGGUCCCUUUAAGCUGGCCUCGGGUGGUUUCAUGGCUGCUCCUCCCUUGAUUAGCAACUGCUCGAAUUUGCUUUUUGGAACUCAGAACAUGAAGACUUUCUGAGCAGAUUGUCAUCAAAAGAUCAGCAGACUUUUUCAAAAAUGUCAAAUCACAUAUAAGUUUCUCACAAGUGAUGAAAUCACUGAUACCGCAAGUUUCCAAUUAACAGGACUAUACAAGGAAUUACUUCCUUUACACUUUGGACUCCAUAGCUUGUGUUCGGAAUCCCAGUGGUCUCCACUGACAUUGAAGUCAGAGCUCGAAAAUACCACCAGGUGGCGCCAAUACCACUUUAAUAGAUUGAGAAAUGGCCAAGCUUGUUUCUAAUAAACAUAAAUCCUUCCAAUUUUUUUUAAAGAAUUUUUAAAAUUUCUUUCUUUCUUUACUGUUCUGGGUCUUUGUUUCUGCGUGGGCUUUUCUCUAGUUGAGGUGAGCAGGGGCUAUUCUCUAGGUGUGGUGGCUUUGGCUUCUCCUUAGGGUGGUUUCUCUUGUUGCAGAGAGGGGGGCUCAGUAGUUGUGGCUCACGGGCUUAGCUGCAUGUGGGAUAUUCCUGUACCAGGGGUGUAACCUGUGUGCCCUGC